GGUUAAAGGUGUGCGCCGCCGCCGCCGCCACCACCACCACCAAGCAGAAGUCUUAAUCUUCAAAAGCCCUGUAAGAGGAUGUCUAUCUAUUUCGAGAGAUCUAUCAGAGCUUCCUACCCACAUAUAAUCACAGGUAUGACGGAAAAGAGAGCUUAGAGUCUAGCUCUGGUGGCGCGUGCCUGUAGCCCCGGUGUUCGGUUAACAGAAGCAGGCGCUUAUCAGUUUCCAGCCCAUCCUAAAGGACAUAGUGAGGUCUCAUCUGCAACAAAACAGGCAGCGGAAGGGGGAGACCUCAUGAGACCGCCCUGCCCUCUGUGGUAAAGAAAAGACAGAUACUUGCCAAUAUACUGUAAUGAAAUAUGCUCAGCAACAUGGAGAGUUUCAGAUGCAUGGGAGUAGAAGAAGAGAAAAUAAAUCAACGUCCUUCUGGAUUGACAGACAGAAGCCCGUGUAUGCAGAGUCACCUCCAGGCAAUAUAUCCAUGUAUGCCAGCGUGUAUCCAGAGUCCCCGAUAGGCCAUCCCAUGUCCCUUGCUCAUAAUAGAUUUGGAAGCAAAACAGGAAUUGACCUGGUCAGUGAAGACUGAGGAGAGAUUUACUAAGGGCUUCUAAGGAAGAGUCCUAAUUUGCAAGAGUAAGCAAUGGAAGGAACCAGUCUCCUCCUCGGGCGUGACUGCGUAUAGAUUUGAAGCCCAGAACCCAGCCCCCAUGGCAGCACUAGACUGAAAAUGAAGCCAACCUUCUUGAAGGGAGGAGCUGGAAGAGUAGCAGGGAGAUAAUUGAGUGGAGCUAGACCACAUCAGCAAAGAAGGCCUCACCUCCAGACUCAAGAAAGGGAGUCUGUGUGGUGUUUUGAUCAGCAUGACUCCAAACCUUCCAGCUGUUACAUUCAUGGGUGGCUCCAGUUCCUCAGCGCUACACCAAGAUCUUAGUGUCUUCCCUGGUCAUUGGUGGAGUGGUUCUGGAAUUCAAAGUGAGUGGGCCAGUGAGAUGCCUCAGCAGGCAAAGGCACUUGCCAGAAAGAACUGACUCUUCAAAGCCGUCGUCCGACUUGCAGACACCUCACGCCCCGUGCAAACUCAGGAACAGUAAUAAGGAAUGGGGGAGGAAGAAGAGGAGAAGAUCGGAGUGAGGCAGUGUACAGGAAUGUGUGUAGACUACAAGCUGCCGUUUAAGGGCACACCGUAGGGAUAACCACUAUUGAGCCUGCAGAAUGAAGCUUACCUUCCUAUAAAAACCUUAUAAACCUUAUGCAUUGCAUGUCUUAAAAAAUAGAGUCACCUGACUUGUUUAUUUUAAAUACUUCCAGAAACUUUAUGCAAAUCUACAGAUCAUUUUACAACAUAAAAAGUGACUGUGUUUCUUCUAGCAGCAGGCAGGAAGCCCCAAGCAGUUCAUUUCCAUUCAACGGCAGAGGGCAAGGCUGUUUUGACUAGCCAUUUAUAUUUAAGGGGGUUAAGUAUGUUUGCCCAUAAAAUAUGGUCUUCUUUACUUCAAAACUGCAAAUAUGCUGAAAUCUGUCUGGUGUCAGAGUUCCCACAUGUAGAGAGGGCUUUCCUAAAGGGUAAAGGAUAAAGUCCAUGGGAA
rnacentral:lncRNA from 1 species